GUGCAGUCAGAAGUAUUGGCUCCUGCUGUGAAAGGUACUUCAAAUGUGCUAAAGGCUUGCUCGGCUAUGAAGGUUCAGAAGAUUUUGCUAUUCGCUGUUGCAAAGGAGUCCUCGAAAUUCCUGCCCAUCUUGAAGGAAACAGCAAACUCAUUCAAGGGAAAGCUUUUAUUUGUUUUUGUGGAGCGUGACAAUGAGGAAGUUGGUGAACCUGUUGCCAAUUACUUUGGAAUUACUGGACAAGAGACCACGGUAAUACCUCUUAUUUAUUUUUCAUGUUUUCUAUGUAUCGAUUUA